GUUUUGCUGGAGUGCUUUAAAAUGAUUUGUUGAUUAUUUCAGUGUCAUUACAUUCCAAGCCCAGCACUUUCCAGAAGGAGUUUUGGCUCUGCUCUUCCGAGUGGAAAUCUCAGAAUUAAUCUGAUUCACAGAGAAUUUCCAGAGUGAAUUUUUGGUUGACUCAUUCAAGACAUUUGGGGCUGGCAGCUGAUGGAUCUGGGAGCAAGGAAUGUUGGUUGAGUCCAGUUCCAACCAUGGAAUCACUGAAGAGUUUGAGUUGGAAGGGAUUUCUGGAGAUCUUCUGCUCCAACCCCCCUCCAUCCAGAGCAUCUUACACAGGAGCACAUCCAGGUGGGAUUGGAAUGACUCCAGAGAGGGGAUUUGCAAUAAAAACAACCUGGAGAACAAACAGCAAAACCUCAUGGGCACCAAACAGCUCCUCUUUUCACAUUUUGAACUCCAAAGAGCAGUAAAGAAAUGGAGGCUGUGUUUGUCUUACAAGGUUUUGUGCACCUUCUCUGGAACCAGGAAAUUCCAGGUGAAAAAGCAACUGAAGUGGAAGAGAAGCUCUGACUCAUUUGAACUGAUCAGGACAGGGCAGGAGACAACAUCUCCCACAUUGUGGUUAUUUACCAGCUCUCACUCCAGGAUUUCUUAA
ensembl:lncRNA